rnacentral:rRNA from 1 species
GAUGAACGCUGACAGAAUGCUUAACACAUGCAAGUCUACUUGAAUUUGGGUUUUUAACUUAGGUUUGGGUGGCGGACGGGUGAGUAACGCGUAAAGAACUUGCCUCACAGCUAGGGACAACAUUUAGAAAUGAAUGCUAAUACCUAAUAUUAUGAUAACAGGGCAUCCUAUAAUUAUGAAAGCUAUAUGCGCUGUGAGAGAGCUUUGCGUCCUAUUAGCUAGUUGGUAAGGUAAAGGCUUACCAAGGCGAUGAUAGGUAGCCGGCCUGAGAGGGUGGACGGCCACAAGGGGACUGAGAUACGGCCCUUACUCCUACGGGAGGCAGCAGUGGGGAAUAUUGGACAAUGGAGGAAACUCUGAUCCAGCAAUUCUGUGUGUGUGAAGAAGGUCUUCGGAUUGUAAAACACUUUUAGUUGGGAAGAAACAAAUGACGGUAC